AUUGAACGCUGGCGGCAUGCCUUACACAUGCAAGUCGAACGGCAGCACGGGUGCUUGCACCUGGUGGCGAGUGGCGAACGGGUGAGUAAAGUAUCGGAACGUGCCUGGUAGUGGGGGAUAACUAGUCGAAAGACUAGCUAAUACCGCAUACGAUCUAAGGAUGAAAGCAGGGGAUCUUCGGACCUUGUGCUCCUGGAGCGGCCGAUAUCUGAUUAGCUAGUUGGUGAGGUAAAGGCUCACCAAGGCGUCGAUCAGUAGCUGGUCUGAGAGGACGACCAGCCACACUGGAACUGAGACACGGUCCAGACUCCUACGGGAGGCAGCAGUGGGGAAUUUUGGACAAUGGGGGCAACCCUGAUCCAGCAAUGCCGCGUGAGUGAAGAA
rnacentral:rRNA from 1 species